GACCGCUUCAGUUGAGUUGGUCUUCCGCCUUGUAAAGUUAUGAGUCUGUGAGGGUCGUCCGACAGACUGAGGGUUGUUCGUUUGUUGGAUAUGGACGAGAAUGACAGAUUUUUUUUAUUGCUUGGAGGAUUGGGAUGGUGGCGGUUCUCUGUGGAUGUAUGUCAACUCUCGCACAAUUUCUAGACAUUCUUAAUGUUAACCGAGGCUCAUCAGUAUCCCUUGAGAGAGAUAUGUGAUUCUUUUGACAAAACUUGGGUUUCCAUGCUCGACGUUGUACAAGCUGACCAUUAAUUUGUUUCGACUCUGUUUCAUUUCUCGCAAAGAUUUGAGAGCACCUUAUGCCAGACUCUUAUUAGUUAGCAAAGACGACAAAUUAGGGUUUAUCCUGACAAACAUCAACCCUUGAGAUAAUUGCUUCCGCCUCAUUUUCUUGGAUCUGAUUGGUUCAUGUCGUGUAAAUGCGCUUCUUAGAAUUUGAGGUUAAUGUGCACUCAAAAUGAACACAACUGCUAGUCUGAAUGUGUUGGAACGCGGAGGGUUUUUGGUAUACGCAGGAAGUACUCAGAACAAAGGGUUGGAUUGAUGAACUGGCAUGGUUAAAACUGGAGCACUUUGUGUCAACGAAUUGAAACCAGGAAACCCGAGAUUUGGAAUUGCCUUUUGCUUAGGUCUUAGCUGGUUGGUUUCAAGUCUAUAAUUGGAAACGGACUUUUGGAUACUGAAAAGUCAUCGAGGAGCAUUGGUGGUAUUUGUAAAUGUGUCUACAGGUAUGGAGUAAUGCAGCUAUUGGCUACCCUUGUGUGGUUAGAAGAGCAGCAUUCUGCAGCAGGAGUUUGAGAUGCAAAAACUGAAAGAGAAAGUUCUCAUGCAGAGAAAUUUAUGUGAAAAUGAGAUUGGAUCUGAAAAAUAUGUUCCCAGCCUACUUGCAACGUGCAAAGGACAGUACGUGCAAUGUUCCAAGUCUAACAAUGACAACAACCAAAUCUUAUACUGAAAUAGGUCACAAGCCAGUGCAACACAGAUUCACGUUCUCUCUACAGUUUGAAUGAAACGUCAAUCCAGAUCGGCAAUGCUGCAGCGAUCCAAUGGCAACUGGUUUAAAUUUUUUUUCUCUUGCAAUUGGAGGUUUUCAUCUUUUUGCAGAGAGUUGUAUAGAACUCCUGUAAAUAGAUUUGGUGUCGCUCAAGCGAUGAUGGACGUAAAAUAGGUUGAAGAUGCUGUCUCUAGUAUCCUGAUGAUAAAUUGGUUAUGUAAUUCAGUUGGGUGAACCGCUCGAUGAAAGAAGAAAAUAUUGUAGAAUCUUAGGGCAGAUUUGAUGUCGAGUUUGCACUCACAAGCUAGUUCCGGGAAUCACAGGUUCAUGUCGUGGUGGUAUGGUUUAAACUUUCGCCUUUCGCUUGGAUGAUUCUGGCUCAGUCCCCAGCCACUGCGCCGCUUCUUCUUUGUCUACCUACCCCAUUUCUGGAUAGUAUGAUGUUUGGACAUUGCAUGAAGAUAUCGCAGGGAUUUCAAGUUGUGAAGAGAGAGAACAUCUCAAUUGCUUAGUCUAAGGUGGUGGAACUUAUCUGUUCCAGUAUGUAUUUGAAUAGGGGCACAAAGUUUUAUUUCCUUUGCGUCGUAAUGAUAUCUUCAUUUUAACGUAA